UAAAUAAGCUUAAUCAAAUUCAAAAAACCUCAAAGAAAUUUCAAACAAAUAAUAAGAAUUCUUAAAGAAAUAUUUGAAGGAUCACAAAUAUCACUCAAAUACAUCUCAAUUCAAUCUUAAUUUAAUUCUACUUAAAAUCCUAUUGAACUUCAUUCAAACUUUAGGCCAAAAAUAAUUGAAUCUUAAAUCCUAAUAAAAUCCUAAAUCCUAAAUUCUAAACCCUAAACAAACCUUAAACCAAACUUCAACCAAAUCCUAAUCAAAUCCUAAAUCUUAAAUCAAAUCCUAACCAAAUCCUAAUCCAUAUUCUAAAUUCUAAACCAAACCCUAAUAAAAUCCUAAACCAAACCCUAACCAAAUCCUAAUCCAAAUCCUAAACCCUAAACCAAAUCCUAAUCCAAAUCCUAAAUCCUAAAUCAAAUCCUAACCAAAUCCAAACCCAUAUUCUAAAUCCUAAACCAAAUUCUAAUACAAAUCCUAAACCAAACCCUAACCAAAUCCUAAUCCAAAUCCUAAACCCUAAAUCAAACCCUCAUCCAAAUCCUAAAUCCUAAAUCAAAUCCUAACUAAAUCCUAAAUCCUAAAUCAAAUCCUAAACAAAUCCUAAAUCCUAAACCAAACCUUAAACAAAUCCUAAAUCCUAAAUCAAAUCCUAACCAAAUUCUAAAUCCUAAAUCAAACCCUAAU
rnacentral:lncRNA from 1 species